GCCGGGCUAGCUCAAUCGGUAGAGCGUGCGGCUCUUAUCAUCUCUAUGGUUACCGCAAGGCUGCGGGUUCGACCCCCGCGUUCGGCU
rfam:Byssochlamys spectabilis No. 5 DNA, contig: PVAR5_00015_3.